GACGAACGCUGGCGGCGUGCUUAACACAUGCAAGUCGAACGGAAAGGCCCUGCUUUUGUGGGGUGCUCGAGUGGCGAACGGGUGAGUAACACGUGAGUAACCUGCCCUUGACUUUGGGAUAACUUCAGGAAACUGGGGCUAAUACCGGAUAGGAGCUCCUGCUGCAUGGUGGGGGUUGGAAAGUUUCGGCGGUUGGGGAUGGACUCGCGGCUUAUCAGCUUGUUGGUGGGGUAGUGGCUUACCAAGGCUUUGACGGGUAGCCGGCCUGAGAGGGUGACCGGCCACAUUGGGACUGAGAUACGGCCCAGACUCCUACGGGAGGCAGCAGUGGGGAAUAUUGCACAAUGGGCGGAAGCCUGAUGCAGCAACGCCGCGUGCGGGAUGACGGUCUUCGGGUGGUAAACCGAUUUCGCCUGUGACGAAGCGUGAGUGACGGUAAUGGGUAAAGAAGCACCGGCUAACUACGUG
rnacentral:rRNA from 1 species